GACGAACGCUGGCGGCGUGCCUAAUACAUGCAAGUCGAGCGCAGGAAACUGACGGAACUCUUCGGAGGGAAGGCAGUGGAAUGAGCGGCGGACGGGUGAGUAACACGUAAGGAACCUGCCUCAAGGAUUGGGAUAACUCCGAGAAAUCGGAGCUAAUACCGGAUAGUUCAACGGACCGCAUGGUCCGCUGAUGAAAGGCGCUCCGGCGUCACCUUGAGAUGGCCUUGCGGUGCAUUAGCUAGUUGGUGGGGUAACGGCCCACCAAGGCGACGAUGCAUAGCCGACCUGAGAGGGUGAUCGGCCACACUGGGACUGAGACACGGCCCAGACUCCUACGGGAGGCAGCAGUAGGGAAUCUUCCACAAUGGACGAAAGUCUGAUGGAGCAACGCCGCGUGAGCGAUGAAGGUUUUCGGAUCGUAAAACUCUGUUGUAAGGGAAGAACACGUACGAGAGGAAAUGCUCGUACCUUGACGGUACCUUACGAGAAAGCCACGGCUAACUACGUGCCAGCAGCCGCGGUAAUAC
rnacentral:rRNA from 1 species